AUUCCAACUUGAAAUCUAGCAAGCAGUAUAAAAAAAGUGUAGCCGUAAAAGUGUUCUCUCUAAUUGCAGUCGCUAAUCCUCAAUUGCCUUUCGUGUGCGUGCAGUAUGUCAAAAAUAGUGACAGUAGCUCCCAAAUCAAUACCUUAACUAUGAGCACUUGUAUCUCCUUCAUAUAAACUCCAAACCAUACAAAAUUUGUAUCAAAACCAUAGCCAAAAACCUAAACUUAUUGAUCCUAGC
rnacentral:lncRNA from 1 species